rnacentral:tRNA from 1 species
GACCGCGUAGCUAAGUUGGAAAAGCAUUGGGCUAGUAUUCCAAAGGUCGUAGGUUCGAAUGCUACCGUGGCCG